rnacentral:rRNA from 1 species
GACGAACGCUGGCGGCGUGCUUAACACAUGCAAGUCGAGCGGAUCGGCGAACGGGUGAGUAACGCGUGAGUAACUGCCCCCCUCCCUGGGGUAACAGUUGGAAACGGGCGCUAAUACCGGUUAGUGGGGGAUGUCUGGCGUCCUAUCAGCUUGUGGGUGGGGUAGGGGCCUACCAAGCCGACGACGGGUAGCCGGCCUGAGCGGGCGACCGGCCACAUUGGGCUGAGAUACGGCCCAAACUCCUACGGGAGGCAGGAGUGGGAAAUAUUGCACAGUGGGGGAAACCCUGUUGCAGCAAGGCACGUGCGGGAUGACGGCCUUCGGGGUGAAAACCGCUUUCAGCCAUGACGCGGUAGUGGCAGAAGAAGCACCGGCUAACUACGUGCCAGCAGCCGCGGUAAUUC